rnacentral:lncRNA from 1 species
ACAUGAGUAUAACAGCAGAACACAUCAUUUAUAGCAGCACAACAUAGCAGCAGAACACGUCACAUAUAGCAGCACAACAUAGUUGUCAGAACACAUGUCUACCAACAUAACACCAAGGUUAAGUUCAACACUACCACACCACCAAGUUUAAACUCAACAUGAAAAGAAACACCAAAAUGAUGGACUAGUUCACCACAAACAUAUUGACCACAGUUUCUACUUCCUAGGCUCUCUCAGCUCAUCAAACAUGUUGACUUUCUUGUAUUUCUUGUUGUUGGAUCCACCUCCCAUGGCAUGUGUUUGUUGACUUGAAGAGGCCCUCUUAAGACUGGACUUGUUCUGCCUAUCUUCAUUUCUUUUGGCAGCAAGCUUUGCUUCUUUUCUCUUCCUUGCCUCCUCUCUAGCAGCUGCCAACUCUGCUGCUUUCUUCUCUCUU